AUACGUAGGUGGCAAGCGUUGUCCGGAUUUACUGGGCGUAAAGGGAGCGUAGGUGGAUAUUUAAGUGGGAUGUGAAAUCCCCGGGCUUAACCUGGGGGCUGCAUUCCAAACUGGAUAUCUAGAGUGCAGGAGAGGAGAGUGGAAUUCCUAGUGUAGCGGUGAAAUGCGUAGAGAUUAGGAAGAACACCAGUGGCGAAGGCGACUCUCUGGACUGUAACUGACACUGAGGCUCGAAAGCGUGGGGAGCAAACAGGAUUAGAUACCCUGGUAGUCCACGCCGUAAACGAGGGGUACUAGGUGUAGGGGUUUCGAUACCUCUGUGCCGCCGUUAACACAAUAAGUACCCCGCCUGGGGAGUACGGUCGCAAGAUUAAA
rnacentral:rRNA from 1 species